rnacentral:rRNA from 1 species
UUAGGUUAAGUUAUUAUGAGCGUAUGGUGGAUGCCUUGGCACUAGGAGCCGAAGAAGGACGGAACAAACACCGAUAUGCCUCGGGGAGCUGUAAGUAAGCUUUGAUCCGGGGAUUUCCGAAUGGGGAAACCCAAUCACCUCAGUCGGUGAUUACUCGCCAGUGAAUUGAUUAGCUGGCGAGGGGAAGACGCUGUGAACUGAAACAUCUAAGUAGCAGCAGGAACAGAAAGAAAUUUCGAUUCCCUAAGUAGCGGCGAGCGAACGGGGAAGAGCCCAAACCAUGGAGCUUGCUUCAUGGGGUUGUAGGACUGAACAUUUGAGUUACCAAAAGCAUUAAUAGUCAAAAGAUUUGGAAAGAUCUGCCAGAGAGGGCGAACGCCCCGUAGGCGAAAUUGAUGCUUCUCAGUUCAGGAUCCUGAGUACGACGGAACACGUGUAACUCCGUCGGAAGCCGGGAGAACCAUCUCCCAAGGCUAAAUACCACCUAGUGACCGAUAGUGAACCAGUACCGUGAGGGAAAGGUGAAAAGCACCCCGGAAGGGGAGUGAAACAGUUCUUGAAACCAUAUGCUUACAAGCAGUUAGAGCCCGUUAACGGGUGAUAGCGUGCCUCUUGCAGAAUGAACCGGCGAGUUACAGUUGCAUGCGAGGUUAAGGCGAAAAGCCGGAGCCGCAGCGAAAGCGAGUCUCAAUCAGGCGUUGAGUAUGUUGCCGUAGACCCGAAACCAAGUGAGCUAUCCAUGUCCAGGAUGAAAGUUCGGUAAUACGGACCGGAGGUCCGAACCAGUGUAAGUUGAAAAUUGCUUGGACGAGAUGUGGAUAGCGGUGAAAUUCCAAACAAACUUGGAGAUAGCUGGUUCUCUCCGAAAUAACCUUAGGGCUAGCCUCGGAUGAAGAAUCAUGGAGGUAGAGCGACUGUUAGAAUGAAGGACUCGUCUUGAGCUACUGAUUUCUGAUAAACUCCAAAUGCCAUUGAUUUAAAUAUCCGGGAGUCAGACUGUGAGUAAUAAGAUCCAUGGUCGAAAGGGAAACAGCCCAGACCACCGAUUAAGGUCCCUAAAUAUGUGCUGAGUGGAAAAGGAAGUGAAAUUGCAUAGACAGCUAGGAUGUUGGCUCAGAAGCAGCCAUCAUUUAAAGAGUGCGUAAUAGCUCACUAGCCGAGUGGUUUUGCGCCGAAAAUUUACCGGGGCUAAGCACAUUACCGAAAUCGUGGACACGCACCGUCAGGUGCGCGUGAUAGGAGAGCGUUCUAAGGGCACUGAAGCAGGACCGUGAGGACCUGUGGAGCGCUUAGAAGUGAGAAUGCCGGUAUGAGUAACGAGAAACUAGUGAGAAUCUAGUUCACCGGAUGACUAAGGUUUCCUGGGGAAGGUUCGUCCGCCCAGGGUUAGUCGGGACCUAAGCCGAGGCCGAAAGGCAUAGGCGAUGGAUAACAGGUUGAGAUUCCUGUACCGGUUAAUUGCGUUUUAAGCGAAGGAAAGACACAGAAGGCUAAGUAAUGCAUGCCGCUGGUUGUGCAUGUUCAAGCUGCGAGCCAGGGAAUGAGUCAAAUGCUUGUUCCCGUUCACGUGAGCAGUGACGAGGACUGAAGUUUAGUAAGGAAGUUACUGACGUCACGCUGUCAAGAAAAGUUUCUAGCUAGUGAUUAACCGCCCGUACCGCAAACCGACACAGGUAGUCAGGAUGAGAAUUCUAAAGUGAGCGAGUGAACCUUCGUUAAGGAAUUCGGCAAAAUUGCCCCGUAACUUCGGAAGAAGGGGCGCUGCACGUCAGUGCAGCCGCAGUGACAAAGCUCAGGCGACUGUUUACUAAAAACACAGGUUUAUGCGAAAUCGUAAGAUGAAGUAUAUGGGCUGACGCCUGCCCGGUGCUGGAAGGUUAAAUGGAUGAGUCAGCUUCGGCGAAGCUCUGAAAUGAAGCCCCAGUAAACGGCGGCCGUAACUAUAACGGUCCUAAGGUAGCGAAAUUCCUUGUCGGGUAAAUUCCGACCCGCACGAAAGGCGUAACGAUCUGAGCACUGUCUCAACGAAGGACUCGGUGAAAUUGAAGUACCUGUGAAGAAGCAGGUUUCCCGCGACAGGACGGAAAGACCCCGUGGAGCUUUACUGUAGCUUGACAUUGGGUGUUCAUAUGACUUGUACAGAAUAGGUAGGAGCCGUGGAAACCGGAACGCUAGUUUCGGUGGAGGCGUCUUUGGGAUACUACCCCUGUUGUACGAACACUCUAACCCAUGCCACUGAUCGUGGCAGGAGACAGUGUCAGGUUGGCAGUUUGACUGGGGCGGUCGCCUCCUAAAGAGUAGCGGAGGCGCUCAAAGGUUCCCUCAGAAUGGUUGGAAAUCAUUCAUCGAGUGUAAAGGCACAAGGGAGCUUGACUGUGAGACCAACGGGUCGAGCAGGGACGAAAGUCGGACUUAGUGAUCCGGUGGUUCCGAAUGGAAGGGCCAUCGCUCAACGGAUAAAAGCUACCCCGGGGAUAACAGGCUUAUCUUCCCCAAGAGUUCAUAUCGACGGGAAGGUUUGGCACCUCGAUGUCGGCUCAUCGCAUCCUGGAGCUGUAGUUGGUUCCAAGGGUUGGGCUGUUCGCCCAUCAAAGCGGUACGCGAGCUGGGUUUAGAACGUCGUGAGACAGUUCGGUCCCUAUCCGUCGCGGGCGUAGGAAAUCUGAGAGGAGCCGUCUUUAGUACGAGAGGACCGAGAUGGACAUACCGCUGGUGUAUCAGUUGUCCCGCCAGGGGCACUGCUGAGUAGCUAUGUAUGGAUGAGAGAAACGCUGAAAGCAUCUAAGUGUGAAACCCACCUCAAGAUGAGAUUUCCCAUUCCCUUCGGGGAAGUAAGACCACUCAUAGAUGAUGAGUUCGAUAGGCUGGACGUGGAAGCGCCGCGAGGCGUGAAGCCGACCAGUACUAAUCGGUCGAGGACUUAACCCAAAA